rnacentral:rRNA from 1 species
UCGCGGCCUAUCAGCUUGUUGGUGGGGUGAUGGCCUACCAAGGCGACGACGGGUAGCCGGCCUGAGAGGGCGACCGGCCACACUGGGACUGAGACACGGCCCAGACUCCUACGGGAGGCAGCAGUGGGGAAUAUUGCGCAAUGGGCGAAAGCCUGACGCAGCGACGCCGCGUGGGGGAUGACGGCCUUCGGGUUGUAAACCUCUUUCGCCAGGGACGAAGCGCAAGUGACGGUACCUGGAUAAGAAGCACCGGCCAACUACGUGCCAGCAGCCGCGGUAAUACGUAGGGUGCGAGCGUUGUCCGGAAUUAUUGGGCGUAAAGAGCUCGUAGGCGGUUUGUCGCGUCUGCUGUAAAAUCCCGAGGCUCAACCUCGGGCCUGCAGUGGGUACGGGCAAACUAGAGUGUGGUAGGGGAGAUUGGAACUCCUGGUGUAGCGGUGGAAUGCGCAGAUAUCAGGAAGAACACCGAUGGCGAAGGCAGAUCUCUGGGCCAUUACUGACGCUGAGGAGCGAAAGCGUGGGGAGCGAACAGGAUUAGAUACCCUGGUAGUCCACGCCGUAAACGUUGGGAACUAGAUGUAGGGUCCAUUCCACGGAUUCUGUGUCGCAGCUAACGCAUUAAGUUCCCCGCCUGGGGAGUACGG